GCGUGGGCCUGUAACCCAAGCGGGGACAUUAAUGUGAUGGAACGUCGAUCUUGUCCAAGUGGCUGGAUUUGGACUGGUUAAAUUCUGGCUUGCCCUCUCCAAGUUCGGAGUCGAACCAUGGGUUCUAGGGCGAAGGCUUGGGUCUCCUGGUUCUUAGAGCAGAGGGUAAUGCGUGAGGCUGGCUUCACAGAGCAGUGACUACCUCUCGCUCCUGGCAGUGGAAGGAUAACAAGUCGGUGCUACCCGGGUCCG
rnacentral:SRP_RNA from 1 species